UUGAUCAAAAACAUCCACCAGAAAUAAUAAGACGUCAUCAAAAUUAUAACGAAUCCAAAAUUAGACCUUUUCGCGUAAAAACAUUUAUAUACACAAGAUAUUCUCUUAUCCACACAAAACACCAUUAAAAGCGAAGAGCCCCGUACGCGACGGAAAAAGAACCACACGCACGACGACAGAAACUUUUAUCGCCUUGGCUCGAUUUACUGGUAUUUCCUUAUAAACGCUGUGCAUGAUGUUGGAAUUUAGAAUUUGAAUGCGUGGAUAGAGGCUGACACAUUACUCUUGCCGGUCGGAACAUAUGUUAAGUGCCAAGGUCGGAUAAGCGGUUGAUCCAUUAAUUUCUUGUGAAGGAAUAAACAUAAGGGAGAUGAAUGUUUGUGGAGCCAUGUUGGAGAAUUAUUCGAAUAUUAGAUUGUUCAUUUCAGUUGUUAUGAUUUGAACCCCCAAAGCAUGUAAUGAAGAGGAUAUCUUCCAAUAAACUCUUUUCCGGAACCAAACGUGAUAUAUUCUUCUUUCAAUUAUUCUUGCUUAU